rnacentral:rRNA from 1 species
UACAGAGGUGGCAAGCGUUGUUCGGAAUUACUGGGCGUAAAGGGCGAGUAGGCGGCCUUCUAAGUCAGACGUGAAAUCCCCCGGCUUAACCUGGGAACUGCGUCUGAUACUGGGAGGCUUGAGUAUGGGAGAGGGAUGUAGAAUUCCAGGUGUAGCGGUGAAAUGCGCAGAUAUCAGGAGGAACACCGAUGGCGAAGGCAGGUCUCUGGGCAUUAACUGACGCUGAGGAGCGAAAGCAUGGGGAGCGAACAGG